rnacentral:rRNA from 1 species
CCUACGGGCGACAGCAGUGAGGAAUAUUGGUCAAUGGACGCAAGUCUGAACCAGCCAAGUAGCGUGCAGGAUGACGGCCCUCCGGGUUGUAAACUGCUUUUAGUUGGGAAUAAAAGGGGGCUCGUGAGCCCCGUAUUGUAUGUACCAUCAGAAAAAGGACCGGCUAAUUCCGUGCCAGCAGCCGCGGUAAUACGGAGGAUGCGAGCGUUAUCCGGAUUUAUUGGGUUUAAAGGGUGCGUAGGCGGGUUAUCAAGUCAGCGGUAAAAUCGUGGAGCUCAACUCCAUCCAGCCGUUGAAACUGAUGAUCUUGAGUGGGCGAGAAGUAUGCGGAAUGCGUGGUGUAGCGGUGAAAUGCAUAGAUAUCACGCAGAACUCCGAUUGCGAAGGCAGCAUACCGGCGCCCGACUGACGCUGAAGCACGAAAGCGUGGGUAUCGAACAGGAUUAGAUACCCUUGUAGUC